GAGUUUGAUCAUGGCUCAGAACGAACGCUGGCGGCAUGCCUAACACAUGCAAGUCGAACGAGACCUUCGGGUCUAGUGGCGCACGGGUGCGUAACGCGUGGGAAUCUGCCCUUGGGUUCGGAAUAACACAGAGAAAUUUGUGCUAAUACCGGAUGAUGUCUUCGGACCAAAGAUUUAUCGCCCAAGGAUGAGCCCGCGUAGGAUUAGGUAGUUGGUGGGGUAAUGGCCUACCAAGCCGACGAUCCUUAGCUGGUCUGAGAGGAUGAUCAGCCACACUGGGACUGAGACACGGCCCAGACUCCUACGGGAGGCAGCAGUGGGGAAUAUUGGACAAUGGGCGAAAGCCUGAUCCAGCAAUGCCGCGUGAGUGAUGAAGGCCUUAGGGUUGUAAAGCUCUUUUACCAGGGAUGAUAAUGACAGUACCUGGAGAAUAAGCUCCGGCUAACUCCGUGCCAGCAGCCGCGGUAAUACG
rnacentral:rRNA from 1 species